UACGUAGGGUGCGAGCGUUGUCCGGAAUUAUUGGGCGUAAAGAGCUUGUAGGCGGUUUGUCGCGUCUGCUGUGAAAAUCCGGGGCUCAACCCCGGACUUGCAGUGGGUACGGGCAGACUAGAGUGUGGUAGGGGAGACUGGAAUUCCUGGUGUAGCGGUGAAAUGCGCAGAUAUCAGGAGGAACACCGGUGGCGAAGGCGGGUCUCUGGGCCGUAACUGACGCUGAGGAGCGAAAGCGUGGGUAGCAAACAGG
rnacentral:rRNA from 1 species